GAGGAGACGAAUUGUUGACAGUAUGAUACAUAGACACAGUAUGUUUUGCCAUGUAUUUAAAUUUUUUGGUCUAAAUAUCCCUAAAGCCCGAGACACACUGCACAAUUUUCGGCUGUCCCAGAUGAAAAGACUGGCAUCGUGAAACAAUCGUGGCGAUUUCUGUGAUCGUGGCUCCUAACACGGAGCUGGAAGGUCAAUGACAGGCCCUCUGCUCCAUGAUGAAGCGUGUAAUGACUUCAGUGUCAGGCCUGGGUUCAUCAUCGCACAAGAUUUUCACACAAGAAAAUAUUCAUCGUGAUGUGGAUGAGAACCUGUGGAUAAAUGCACAAGAUGAGGCUGAUGGGAACAGAAGUGCGCUGAACAACACUUUACUGACAUUAACUACUGUAGGGUUUAUUCCUUUAAUUUGAUUCUUUCAUCAAUAGAUUUCAGAUUUUGUUCACUGACUCAGCUGUGUCUGUACUAUUCUCUCUAGUUUAUUGAAGUAUAAACGUGAACAACAACAGAAUAUCAAGACUUCCAUCACAAAACCCAGGAGUAUAAUUAAACAGCAAUUAUAAUAUAUAAAUAUAAACAACAGCAACAUCAUAAACAGCACUGGGCUUCAUUGGGUUAAGUUAGACUUACACAGGAUUUUCCUCAGUGUUUGUUCCAGAAAAACACAAACAAACAUUUAACGUCAUAUCAAUCAGAUCUUCUCAAUGUAACAUGAUUCAAUAUACAAUAUACAGGGCUGUGUAAUGUGGAAAUAAUAUAAUUUAAAUAGGCAAAAUUUAAGAUUCAAUUAGUCAAGUUAAACAUUUAAAUGCUUGAUUUAUUUGUUUUUAUGUUGUUUUAUGCUUCAAUGUCAAUAUAGGCUAUAUAUAGAAAUUAAAAUCUGUAGAUUUCAGUAAAAACUAAUAAUUGAGAUGUAUUAAAACGUUUCUUUGGUAGUGUUUGUAAAAGGAUUGAUUAUUUUCUUUCUUUCAUUCAGGCUAGGGGUGGGUGAUAUGGUAAAAACAUAAUUUCAUGAUUUUUUUGUUCAGGAAAAUCACGAUUCACAAUUUAAGAUUUACAACAUUAUAAGGAAACCUGUUAUGGUUCUUUUUCUAAAAUCGCGACAAAAAAAGUCAGGGAGACGCCGCACACAACGACUGCUUAACAAAACAAAUUUAUUUAGCUAUAAAGAAAAGAAAACAUGUAAUGUAGUCCGUGUAGAUGAUAGUCAGUAUGUCGGCAUGUGUUUGUUAGUAGUACCAAUAACAACAAUCCAAACAAACACCAAAACUCAAAACCCAAACGUCCAAUCUUGAGAGAGAUGAAUCAAAACGGGAACUCAACAAGCUCCGUCCUUCAGAUGAGGUUCUGACUCUCUGUGCUCAUUAAAAAUCCCAGGAUGCCUUUCAAAAAGAGUAGAGGUGUAGCCUCAGCAUCUUUUAAAAUAAAAAAAAUUUAAUUACGACUUAAUUCUACAAUUCAUCUCCUCCGCAUCACUGAUUUCUAUGUUUAUUUACGCUUUGAUUUGAACGAAAACAGCGAGUCCGUGUGGCGCGGCUGACACAGAACAGCGUACGCAGUUUGCAUUCAGCGGAUAUUCUCCAAAAUGCCGCUACGGUGAUGCGGAUAACACACGGAGGAGACAAAUUGUUGAAUAAAGUCAUAAUUUUUAUAUUCUUUGUGUACAAAAAGUAUUCUCGUAGCUUCAUAACAUUCAGAUUGAACCACUGUGACGGUGGCGGCCCCAAGUAAAUAGUUGCAGAGACAAAAAAAAUUUAAGUGACUCUAAAAGUUCGGGCGCCAGACAGGAAUAAGCCUGUCAAAAAGGAAUUUAACCCAGAUAGCCUUGAAAAAGCCACCAGUUACAUACAAUAGAUACAACAGCAAGAAAUAAAAAUAAUGCAGAUACACUAGCAAUAAAUGCACAAGGAGAAACUAUUUUCAGUUCAGUUUCACUUGUAUUUUUCACAAGAGAGGGGAAAAAAACAAUAAUAAAAAACAAACGAUUUGUCACAUGAAUGUGUUUACACAUUGCACAUCCAUCAAAAAAACCUAUAAAUAAUCGCUAGUACUGCAGCGACUGAGAGCCUCCAGUCUAAGUCAGUAUUCGCAGCGGCAGUUGCGAUAGUCCAGUUCUCAAUUUACAAUUCCAAACCGAUAAAAAGAAAAAAAAAGGAAAAAAAUACAAACAAGAUUAAUUUUAGUCACUCACUUCAUUAUACAACUUCAUAAAAGACGACAAAAAGAAAAUACUCACAUUAAGGGGAGUUGUACAUUACAGUAUGCUUGAGCGAAUGUGGUGUGAGUGAACUUUGGGUGUGUGUGUGUGUGGUACGCCAGCCAUGAGCCAUAUGACCGGCCGAUCGUUUUCGUGGGGAAACAGUUUUACAAACAGUGAAAGAAGGUGGAUUUUCUCCAAGAGAAAAAAUGGUAUCCAGGCAGGAACACUUCCCUUCGCUCCCGAACCACACACGCCUCUGCGCUGGUCCCGCAGCUCGGACAACGAUUUCUUUGAAACCCUCCGGCCAAACUCCAGCAUACACAGUGUGUGUGAGUGCGCUCAGCCGAAACCAGUGCGACUUCCACCCUAAUUCUUCGCAACUUCUUUGUUCAGAAAACCACCCCCUUCUUUGAUUCUGUUCCACUAUAUAUAGAUACCUCACUUCCUUCCCAAAUUAGACUCUCGUUCCUAUUCGCUGGCAGUCACGACAAUUGUUUUGGUUUCACUUUUCCAGUUCCGCCUUUUACGUGCCGCCACACCACAGAUGGCAGAUGGACUAUUUUGACGAUGUCUUUCAUACUUUUCUGGACCGUGACAGUGUAAUUUUCUUGGCAGUCGAUGGGACAGUCACAAGCCUCCCGGUUUUCAUCCAAAAUAUCUCAAAUUGUGUUCUGAAGACGAACAAAACAUUUAUGGGUUUGGAACGACAUGGGGGUAAGUGAUUAAUGACAAAAUUUUGCCAUAAAGUGACAAAGGAUGGAGAAAGGAAAUCAUACUAUUCUCCACUUCCCCCCUGAUACAGCAACAACUGACAAAAGUUAAUAAUAAACUGUAUUUUGACAUAUAAUUUACUACUAGAAUAAUGUUGUCACAGUGGUGCAAUUUAGACACCUGUGUGAUUUUUCCUUUAUCAAUACCAUCAAUAUCAGUUAUACUGCUUGUCAUCUAGGUGUGCGAUAUAUAUCAUCUACAAUAAUAUUGUAAUUGUUGUUUUAACGAUGUGCAAUUUGAUAUUAUCGAAUAUAAUCGCAAAAAACAAAACACACCUACAGCGUGCACGCAUACUAUACUGUAUGUGAUGUAGCAGGUUAGAUUCGUGCGUGUGCACAUUUAGAGUCCAUUAUUUCACUGUGUGAUUCAGUCUAUUAAAAUGCAUUUUGAAUGCUGCCAAAAUUCAAGAUAUGGGGGCAAAACAUGUAUAUAUUUAUAUCAUUUCAUAUAUUUAAUCAAUAUCUCACGAAGGCUGCCAUUUCCUCUCCAAGAAUCAGCAUGAUUACAAAUGUGAUAUUGAUUUCAUACAACAGUUCAAUAAACAAAAAGUUAAGGUUGAAUCACAAUGACUCAUUCAUUGGCAGUGACUUGCUGCCACCUACUGGCAGUUUUAAUUUCACAUUUAAAGUAUCUUUUCAUUGUUUAAAAUGAUUUUAUAUGUCAGUAUUCAACGUUUUAUGUUUGAUAUAUCAAAACAUUAUUUAUGCAUUUGUAACUCCAGGUUAAAUGCAUUCAGGUCCCUCUGAGCUGCAUCUUCUGUGUUUCAAAAUCUUUAGGAGUCAGCUGUCCACAUCAGUCCUUAAGGAUAUGCAGAGAUUCAAGUCACAAAGGAAAAUCAUUUGUGAAGUCCAUUUGACAUGGCUCCAUGUUUGAGAACUCUCAUAUUUCACUUCAAACAUGGAUGCAUUUCAUCUAUAGAUUUGCCCAAGGUCUUUGACUGCGACAAGUGGACAUGCUACAGGAGGGGAUUACUCGGAGCUCUGCAACUCUGAGUAAACUGUCAGACAAGCUGAGAAGAGUUUGUAAAUCUGCAAUGAAAAGAAUGCAAAAGAGGCAAGCAGACUAUUGGAAGAAUAAGAGAAAUUGUUCUGAUAGAUGAAAGCUAAUUUGGCCAUAAAAGAAAGUACAACAGAGGACGAGCCAGCAACAGGAGCACCUGGGUAUUCAGAAUGCUAGGCAUCAAGGUUGAGAGGAGGAGACCUAUUUUUAUAUAAUAAGUUAUAAGUUGUAUAUCCUAUAAGUUGUGCAUCGUCGUUCAGCCAGACAUCUCAUGCCCCUCAUAAAGAAGCACAUUCGCCAGGGAAGCUCAGUCAUUUCAGAUGGAUGGCGGUCUUACUGCAAUCUUCAGAAUAAAGGUUAUGAUCACCGGAUUGUCAACCAUAAAGAAAAUUUUGUUGACCCUGUUACAGGUGCACAUACACAGAACCUGGAGAGACUUUGGGGUGUUUGUAAGUCAACUAUUUGGAGAUUAAGAGGAAACCGCACACAAAUUAUGUUGAAAGACCACUUGGAUGUAAUUGAGUGGACUUACUGGCGUGGGAACAAUCACAGAAAUGGACCACUUGGAAUUCUUUUGCAUGACAUCAAGCAAAAAUAUAUGAGGCCUACAUGAAAUGUACUUGCAUAUACUGUAGAUAGCAAGUUGAUUUUUAUACUACUACUCUUUCAACACACUGAAUAUACUGUUUUCGUGUUUAAAUGCCUUAAAUGUGCUUGAAACAUGUUUUAUUUUUGGAAAAUACAAAUAGUGAAGUUGACCCAAUAUUUAUUUUCAGUUAAAGCCUGAGACCCUGAGAAAAAAGACAUGAAAAUCCAGUCAACUUCUUCCACUGAUGGAGUAUUCAAAUGCUAGUUUUCAGCUUUCAGUUUAAAUGUGUUAUUUAGUACUGCCCUUCGGAAGCAACAGAAGAUACUUGCAAGUUUCCCGGAAGACAAAUUAAGUACAAAUUUUUUUGUCUUGUGGACUAUAUGUAAACAUCUUUUAUAUAAAAUAUUUUACUCAGGACAGUACUAAAUAAAAAAAUA